AGAAGCCAGCCCGCAGCAACUCUGCAGGGAAGAAUAUAGGGAAAUAAACGCCUUCAUCUCUCUCUUGUCCCACCCGCAGAGCUCCUUCUGGGAUUCUCUAUUGGCUGAACUCAGCCAGAAGCUGCCAAGGGAGACCCCCACAACUGGAUGCAGCCCACUGAAGUCAGCUUCCUGGGGUGCGUAGCUGAAGGUAGCAGGGAGCAAAAAGAAUCUGAAGGGGAAGUGAACAAUGUAGAGCGUAUCUGUGCUGAAGACGUAAGGAGAGAGUGGAGGUCAGAAGCUGGCAUGGUCCCUGGUGCAUGUAUCAGCCGCUAAAGCUGGAGUGGAUGAAUCAGAACUUUCCCCAUGGGAGCAUUUAUAAAAAGGGGACACCCAGCGCAGAAGAUGUUUUCCAGGGAGAUCUCGGGGAGCCCAACAAGCCAAGAAGAGCAGAGCAAAGCAUUCCAAGGAAGGACUCUAAGUCUGCAACCGAGCACACACGAGGAAAUCACUGCACGGUGGACAAAGAUAUAUGCAUAAGGAUGCUCCUUCUGGCCAAAGACCAAAAACAUAACUGGCCAUCAGUAAAAGCCAACACAAGGAAAGACCAUGUGAAUACACAGCAAGAACGUGGUGCUCUGCAAGUCAGAAACAGACCCGUCAUCAGA
rnacentral:lncRNA from 1 species